rnacentral:rRNA from 1 species
AGGUUAAGCUAAUAAGAGCACACGGAGGAUGCCUAGGCGCCAGGAGCCGACGAAGGACGUGGCGAACAACGAAACUGCCUCGGGGAGCUGUAAGCAAGCUUUGAUCCGGGGGUGUCCGAAUGGGGAAACCCAGCUGUGGUAAUUCGCAGUUACUCAUAUCUGAAUACAUAGGGUAUGUAGAGGCAGACCAGGGGAACUGAAACAUCUAAGUACCCUGAGGAAGAGAAAACAAUAGUGAUUCCGUCAGUAGCGGCGAGCGAACGCGGAACAGCCUAAACCAGGGGGCUUGCCUCCUGGGGUUGUGGGACGUCUCACAUGGAGUUACAAAGGAAUAUGGUAGGUGAAGAGGUCUGGAAAGGCCCGCGAUAGAGGUAAAAGCCCUGUAACCUAAACUGUGUUCUCUCCGAGACGGAUCCCGAGUAGUGCGGGGCACGUGAAACCCCGUAUGAAUCCGGCAGGACCAUCUGUCAAGGCUAAAUACUACCUGGCGACCGAUAGUGAAUCAGUACCGUGAGGGAAAGGUGAAAAGCACCCCGGAAGGGGAGUGAAAUAGAACCUGAAACCGUGUGCUUACAAAAAGUCAGAGCCCGAUCUAUGGGUGAUGGCGUGCCUUUUGUAGAAUGAACCGGCGAGUUACGUUUAACAUGCAAGGUUAAGUCGAGAAGACGGAGCCGCAGCGAAAGCGAGUCUGAAUAGGGCGACAUAGUAUGUGGACGUAGACCCGAAACCGUGUGAUCUACCCCUGUCCAGGGUGAAGGUGCGGUAACACGCACUGGAGGCCCGAACCCACGUACGUUGAAAAGUGCGGGGAUGAGGUGGGGGUAGCGGAGAAAUUCCAAUCGAACUCGGAGAUAGCUGGUUCUCCCCGAAAUAGCUUUAGGGCUAGCCUCGGUAUAAAAGUAGUGGAGGUAGAGCACUGAUUGGGUGCGGGGCCCGCAAGGGUUACCAAGCUCAGUCAAACUCCGAAUGCCAUAUACUUAUUGCCGGGAGUCAGACAGUGAGUGCUAAGAUCCAUUGUCAAAAGGGAAACAGCCCAGACCAUCAGCUAAGGUCCCCAAGUGUGUGUUAAGUGGGAAAGGAUGUGGAGUUGCACAGACAACCAGGAUGUUGGCUUAGAAGCAGCCACCAUUUAAAGAGUGCGUAAUAGCUCACUGGUCGAGUGACUCUGCGCCGAAAAUGUAACGGGGCUAAACACACCACCGAAGCUAUGGCUAGAUGCUUUGCAUCUGGGGUAGGGGAGCGUUGUGUAGGGGUUGAAGGUGUACCGUAAGGAGCGCUGGACACUACACAAGUGAGAAUGCCGGUAUGAGUAACGAAAAGAUCAGUGAGAAUCUGAUCCGCCGAAAGCCCAAGGUUUCCUGAGGAAGGCUCGUCCGCUCAGGGUAAGUCGGGACCUAAGGCGAGGCCGAAAGGCGUAGUCGAAGGACAACAGUUUGAAAUUACUGUACCACCGUAAUCCGCUAUGAGCGAUGGGGUGACGCAGGAGGGUAGUGACGCGGACUGAUGGAUGUCCGUCUAAGCAGUGAGGCUGGUGUGUAGGCAAAUCCGCACAUCGUAAGGCUGGGCUGUGAUGGGGAGCGAAAAUUAGAGUAGCGAAGGUCAUGAUCUCACACUGCCAAGAAAAGCCUCUAGUCAGGAGAAGGUGCCCGUACCGCAAACCGACACAGGUAGGCGAGAAGAGAAUUCUAAGGCGCGCGGAAGAACUCUCGUUAAGGAACUCGGCAAAAUGACCCCGUAACUUCGGGAGAAGGGGUGCCUCGGUAGGGUGAAUAGCCCGAGGGGGCCGCAGUGAAAAGGCCCAAGCGACUGUUUAGCAAAAACACAGGUCUGUGCGAAGCCGUAAGGCGAAGUAUACGGGCUGACGCCUGCCCGGUGCUGGAAGGUUAAGGGGAGUGGUUAGG